rnacentral:tRNA from 1 species
GCUUCCCUAGCUCAGUUGGCAGAGCACGACACUCUUAAUGUUGGGGUCCAGGGUUCGAGCCCCUGGGGGAGCA